rnacentral:ncRNA from 1 species
AGUUGGCCUACUGCACAGGAACGGGUUUCCCCUCGCAGCGCCAAGGGGGAUGAGCCUCGCCAGCAGCGGCCAAGGCCGGAAAGGCGAAAUACACAGCGUCGGGUAGAGUUUGGUAGGGUCCUCGGAUCUCGAAGAAGUCAGGCCCA